rnacentral:lncRNA from 1 species
CUUGUUAUAUUUCCUUUUUCAGGGAGAUGAGGGGCUGGUGGUAGAGAUGCAUGGACCACAGCAAGUUAUUGUGCCAUGAUUUUGUCUUUGACGUACUUAUUUCUGAAAUUCAUUAUGACUUGAAAUAUCCUUUUCAUAAAGACUGCAAUAAAGUCCUUUGACAAUAUGGCUAGAUGGAUCAAAGGGCUUAUCUCUGUUGAAUCUUGAGUAGCCACCCAGAUAUCACUGGAGAAGCAACAAUGCAGGCCUGCAGGAGAUCAAGGCUAAGGGCAAGGAGCGGAAGGGAGACACACAAGAUGCUCAAGUCUUUAAAAAUCCCCAUUGGGAGAAUCACGCUACAAAUGGACAAAUCACAUCCUGAAACGGUGGACUCUCUGAAGACCUUACAAAACAGCCUUCAGGCCUGAUCUGUCUCCUUUCCCAGCUUGAACUGUGUUUUCCUAAAGUGGUUUCACUUUCCUCCUUCUCCAAAAGGUGGCAUCAGAAAGGAGGGAGCAGGAAGGCACAGGCCAAACGCUCAUCUCAAUGGCUGCCUCAGCCAUGCUCUGACAAGUGAGCUGAUGGGAAAAUUGCUCCUAAUUAAAUCACUUCAUUAAAAAGAGACCAUUUUCCAAGCGAAUGCACUCCGCAGUUCUCGUGGUGGGUAAUUUGUUGUGUUAAUAAGCUGGAGAGGUUGAAUUCCAAGGUUGCAGCCGCUGACAGCCUGCAGAAAUAGGGACCAUAUUUUGGCAAUGCCCUUGCCCUGUCGAGGGUACCGAGGAAAGCUGACAAAUGGCAGUUCCUUAUAAUAGUUUUGCUCACUGGAGACCUGAGGGGCUGAGAAUGAUGUUUUCUAGUCUGUAGGUUUAGGAUGCCAACAAGAUAAAACAAAUACCCA